rnacentral:rRNA from 2 species
UACGGCGGCCAUAGCGACAGGGAAACACCCGGUCCCAUCCCGAACCCGGAAGUUAAGCCUGCCAGCGCCGAUGGUACUGCAACCGGAAGGUUGUGGGAGAGUAGGACGCCGCCGGAC